UAGGGAAUCUUCGGCAAUGGGGGCAACCCUGACCGAGCAACGCCGCGUGAGUGAAGAAGGUUUUCGGAUCGUAAAGCUCUGUUGUAAGAGAAGAACGUGUGUGAGAGUGGAAAGUUCACACAGUGACGGUAACUUACCAGAAAGGGACGGCUAACUACGUGCCAGCAGCCGCGGUAAUACGUAGGUCCCGAGCGUUGUCCGGAUUUAUUGGGCGUAAAGCGAGCGCAGGCGGUUUAAUAAGUCUGAAGUUAAAGGCAGUGGCUUAACCAGUGUUCGCUUUGGAAACUGUUAAACUGGAGUGCAGAAGGGUAGAGUGGAAUUCCAUGUGUAGCGGUGAAAUGCGUAGAUAUAUGGAGGAACACCGGUGGCGAAGGCGGCUCUCUGGUCUGUAACUGACGCUGAGGCUCGAAAGCGUGGGGAGCAAACAGG
rnacentral:rRNA from 1 species